rnacentral:rRNA from 1 species
AGUGAACGCUGGUGGCAGGCCUAACACAUGCAAGUCGAGCGGCAGCGGGUCCUUCGGGAUGCCGGCGAGCGGCGGACGGGUGAGGAAUACAUCGGAAUCUGCCCUGUCGUGGGGGAUAACCUAGGGAAACUUAGGCUAAUACCGCAUACGACCUACGGGUGAAAGCGGGGGAUCGCAAGACCUCGCGCGACAGGAUGAGCCGAUGUCCGAUUAGCUAGUUGGCGGGGUAAAGGCCCACCAAGGCGACGAUCGGUAGCUGGUCUGAGAGGAUGAUCAGCCACACUGGGACUGAGACACGGCCCAGACUCCUACGGGAGGCAGCAGUGGGGAAUAUUGGACAAUGGGCGCAAGCCUGAUCCAGCCAUGCCGCGUGGGUGAAGAAGGCCUUCGGGUUGUAAAGCCCUUUUGUCCGGGAAGAAAUCGUCUGGGCUAAUACCCCGGGCGGAUGACGGUACCGGAAGAAUAAGCACCGGCUAACUUCGUG